GACGGUCUUCUCCUGGGCUCACGUAGCAUCUGUAAACCUUCUUGUGAAGGGUCUUUUGUCCAUUGUCUAAUUGGAUGUUUUUACGGUUGAGUUCUGCGACUUUUUCCCUGGUGUAUUCUGGGUGAGUCUUUGUCAGAUGUGCCGCUGGAGGAUAUUUUCUCCCCGUCUGCAGCUUGUGUUUUUUGUUCUCUUAACUGGGUCUUUCAUGGAGUAAAACUUUUUAAUUUUGAUGAAGCCCAACGUGUCCCUUCUUAUUCUCCUCCGCGUAUGCUUUUGACGUUUGGUCUGAGACCUUUUCACCAAGCUCUAGGUCUUGAAGAUGUUCUCUGUCUUUCUGUACCAGUUGCUGUGAUCCUGUGACUUUUUGUGUGAGGGUGGAUGACACUGAUUGAUGUUUGAACCGCUAGUGGCCCUGCAUCCCUGGAAGGACCCUCGGGGCCUGUUCCUCGUGUGUUUCUGGACUUCUGUUUGUAGGAUGUUGUGAAGCCCUUGGUUCCGAGUGCCUGCUCGGAGGGCUUAGUGCCUUUGGGCGUGUGUGGAAAGGCCCUGGGAGCCCACAGGACAGUGAGGGGACGACCUGGAGCAUGAGGUCUCAAGGGAGGUGCCAGGACGAGGCGAUUUCACUUGGAGGAUGGAAGCGUGAGGGGAAGGGUGGCCACUCGCUUGGGUGGCUUUCGUCUUCCGAAUCGUAUCCCGUGUCCUUCCCUUCUGUCCUUAUAUCACCCGGGUGUGGGUGGCCAGACCCAAGGCCCGGAGCCCCGGGCUGCUGGCUGUCGGGGGUGGGGUGGGGGUGUCUGGCCAGUCCCCAGGGAGGAGGCGGUCUCCCCGAGGCCGCGCUGCAAGGCCUGGUGGCCUCUGUGUCCCCUCCGGUGGCAGACGUGAGUGACAUCAGCCGCUUCCUGAGCGUGUUGCAGGAGCCGCACGCGGGCCUCAUCCAGGCGGCCCGGCAGCUGCUCUCCGACGAGCGGGCCCCGAUGCGGCAGAAGCUCCUGGCCGACCUGCUGGGCACUGUCAGCGAGAACAUCGCGGCCGAGACCAGGGCCGAGGACCCACCGUGGUUCGAAGGCUUGGAGUCCCGGUUCAGGAACAAGUCUGGCUACCUGAGAUACAGCUGCGAGAGCCGGAUCCGGAGCUACCUGAGAGAGGUGACGUCUGGUGCCUCCCUGGCACGCGCGGAGGCCCGGGAGGAGUACCUGCGGGUCGUGGGCGCCAUGGGCCAGAGGCUGCAGGCCGCCCGGUACAACAGCAGCUACUUCGACCGCUGGGCGAAGGCCGGCCGCCGGCUCUGCACGCGCGAAGGGUGGUUCUCCUGCCAGCAGCUCCAGUGGGGCCUGAGAGCCUGCGUUUCUGACAAGUUCCCGGGAUGCUGGUGCUGGUUCAGGGUCCACUCCCCCCGAGAACUGCCGUGGGUGGGGCAGGACACAAGUGCUCGGCCCUUUCGACCUGGACGACUGCACCUCCAGACACUCCAUCAACCCCUACAGCAACAGGGAGAGCCGUGUCCUCUUCAGCACCUGGAACCUGGACCACGUCUCCCGCCUGUGGGUGGAUCGGUGGCCGGCGGCCGCGGGCCCAGUCAGCGAGUCCCAGGUGCCGCUGUGUGGGUCCCUGCCUCUCCCAGGCUGCGGGAGCUCUGGGCGUUUCCUGCUUCAACCAGCGUGAGCACGUCUUGGCCAGCAGGAUCGUUUUUCUGUGUCAUUAGCUCAUUCAAAAAAAGGGGCAGAAAUGGAAAACAUUAACUGAGACGCUUUUCUUGUUGACCGCUGAGCAGCGUGGGGUUUGGACUGCGUGGGUCCACUUACACGUGGAGUUUUCCAGUAGGAAAUACUAUGGUACUGCUCCAUCCGCAGGGGUUGAAUCCACACACACGGAACCUUGGAUGUGGAGGGAGCCUGCACGCAGGGGGCCCCCUGUGAAGUUAUGUGUGGAUUUUUUUGAAAAAGAAAUUCUCCUGUGGCAGCUCAUUUGCCCGGGUACCAGGAAGGUUGAAUGUCCACGUGUUAACUGGCCAUUUGUGUUCUGUGAAGGGGCUGUCGCUUCCUUUGCUCAUUUUUUUACUGGGCUUUGGUCUCCUAAUUAAUAUGUAGGAAUUCCUUACACGUCCUGGAUACUAGUUCUUUGGUGGCUCUUUGUGUUAUGGAUAUGUUUUUACAGUUUGGGCUUGUCUUUCGCUCCUGGGAUGUCUUUGAUCACGAGGGGUUUACGUGCCAGUGUACUGAGACGUACCCCUCCUUUUUUUGUGCGACAUCCUUCCCUCCCUCGUAUCAUGAAGAUAUCCCAUUUUUUUCUCUGCUGAUUGAUUGGCUGCGCCGCUUCUGACCUGCCUGGAGCACCCCGAGAUGAUCUUGGGGCUCCAGGCCAUCUGUCUGCUCCUGUCUUUUCAUGACCCGCUAGGGGCCCCCGCCAGCACCUGAGAAGUGAGACAGGCUGGCCUAGAACAGGACAGGGAUGAAGCGGCGGCAUGUGAGCGGAGCCUGAGUCAUGCCUCCUGGAACCUACCAGUUACAUUUUUGCUCUUUUUCUGAAUAUGUGUACGUUCACAUAGAUGCACACACUGGCUUUUAAUUUAAAAUGCAGUUUUGACCAGGAGGCAGCAGGGUUUGAAAACACUGGUCUGAUUGUUUUCCUGAGACGUGACUGCAGGCCCUCCCUGAGUCUGGUGGGACUGAAGCCACGAGCCACGUGUUUAAGUAGUUGAACACUAAAGAGUAUAGCACGUGCUGUCGUCCCACCGGGACUGUGUCUCCGCGGCCCAGGCCGGGUUCCCGGUCCCAGCUGGUGGACUUCUCAGGGCUCUGGGAUGUGGCUGUGGUGGCCUGCAGUCCACAGCCUGCCCUCUUCUCCCACCCCUUGGGCCCCUCACACCAUGAGUGCUGCACCCACGUGUGUCCAGGCUUAGGGUGUGCAGCGGGGCACGGCCUGUCCCGGGAGGCCAUCCCGAGCCUGAGUUCUGGGAGCGUGGGCUGGGAGGCGGGGCGGGGGUCCUGGGCCCAGAGGCCUCCUCCCCACAGCGGGGCCCCCAGGAGCACGGGGCCUGUUCCCCAAGGGCUAAGGGCGCCUCCUCCCACGCUCAGUGUUGUGACAGGCCCUCUUGUCUGGGACCAGCACUUCCCCACCCCCUUCAAAACCAUCCUUGGGCUUUUCCUUAACUUCAUUCACUUGGCUUUUAUUUUUCAUCCCUUCUUUCUACUUUUUGGAGUUUCUUUUUGCUUAUCGGUUAACCUGCAUCUCUCUUGUCUUCUAACGUACAUUUCAGGCUAUCCGUUUCCGCUUUCGCUGCUUCCUGUGAGUUUGGUGAUUUUGUUGUCAUCCAGGGCUGGCGGCUUUGUCUUUUCCAUCGUGAUCUUAUCACUGCUCCGUGAGCUGUGAGACGUGGCACUUGUCUUCAGUGGCGCCGGGUUCUUAGUUGCCUCUCCUGGGCCGCUCGCUGCCGUGGUCACUCAUGCCUCCUCCGAGCCUGAGUGCACGUGGCCUCAGAUCCACGUGGCCUCAGAUCUGCGUGGCUGGAUUUAAGCCGCUCUGCUGGCUUCCCGCCCCUUUCCUGUCGACCUUGACGUGUCCUUAGGUUUGCGUGAGUGUCCCACUGGCCGUGUCAUUGCUCUUGUUCCGCGGGGUCCGGGACGGUCUGAUCCGAGUUGAUGCCCAUGUGGUGCCGGCCGUGCUCUCUGCCAGCACCGGGCUCGGCCAGGUCAGGGGUGUUGGCACAGUCCCAGCGUCUUCCCGGUGUCGGGACAGCAUCUGGCUGCCGCGGCCGUUCACCCAGUGUUGGUUGAGUAAAUAGGAAAUGUGUUUGGGCUUCUUUAACUCUUUAUUCUGGGUUCCCAGUCCCUGUACCCGCCCUUCCCAUUGGGUCUCCUUUGUGCUUUCUGUGAGCUUAAACCAGGUGUCUUUUCCCCUUGCCCAUCACCCCACACUUUGGUGGCUCGGGAAAUAGAUGUUUGCGUGUGUUCCCUUAGUGGGGCCCCAGAGUGAAGCCCAUCGGAAGCAGAAUCGCAUCUGCCUCGCCCCCAGGCCCCGGGGAUCACGUUGGUGUCCCCCCCACCCACCGUGAACCGUGCACCAAGCGCGGGCGCGUUCCCCGGGGCGGGUCCUCGCUCUCGCUCGCCCACAGGUCUCAGGUUGCACGGAGCUCAGGCUCGCUCCCUGAUGGCCGUGAGGGUCUUUGGGGUCUGCGCCCCCCGGUCGUAGAAGGGCCCCGAGUGCUUGUCAAGCUGACGGGGCUGCAGGCGGCGGCCACUUGGCCUGCAGCGCUCUGGGGAUACGCCGCCUGUCUCCUGGCGUCUGUUCACAAGGCUGCCGUCCGUCUCCUCUCCUUUUCUGUGGCAGCUUUAGACCUCCUCUUUGAAAAGGCCAUGUAUCCAGCACAGAUCUCUAUUCUAAAUUCUGACCGGGACUUGCAUCCUCUGCUCCAAAGACGUGUCUGUCUUCAAUCCUGGAAACUCUCCGGCGGGGAUUCUCUGGCUGCCCGCGUGUACCUGGACCAGCCCGUGCUGCGUCUGCUCUUACGCAUUCCCACUCCUGGGGACUUCCUGCCGUGGACUGAACUGUGUCCCCCAGGUUCAUAUGCUGAAGCCCUAACCCCAGGGUGACCGUGCUGGGGUCGGAAGGGUGGAGCCCUGAUCUGAUAGGACUGUGGUCUCCUAAGAAGAGAGGCUCUGCACCAUGUGAGGACACAGCUGGGGGCAGCCGUCUGCGAGCAGGGAAGACUCUUCUCGCCAGAACCCGACCACGCUGGCGCCCUGGUCUCAGAACCCCAGCCUCCAGGAUGGUGACAUAACUGGUCUCUGUUGUUUAAGGCACCCAGUCUAUGGUAUUUUGUUACGGUGGCCCAAGGUGACUAAUACGCUUCCUAUACGUUCACUUCUCUCUUCAGCUCUGAUGCAUUCAGUCUGUGUUUUUAGCAUUGAGUACGUAUUAUUUCCUUUCUAUGAGCGCUUCUGGGUUAUUUUUAAAAACAUGUCUUUUUGUGGCAGCCUGCUCUCAUUAUUUAUUUUUAUUUCAUCAUUUAUUUUAAGCAAAGUUAUCUCAUGGUUAUGUGGUAAAGACCUUAACUGUGCAGAGAGAGGUCUGGCCUUUGCCCCUGACCCCUGGGAGGUCAGCUCUGAGCCCUCGGAGUGUCUUGCAUGCUAGUGUCUCUGUUUGCCUAGUGGCGGGGCUGGGGGGUCACCAGGCAGUCUAGCAGUAUGAGUCGGGUGGGGGCUUUGGGUCACGUGGUUUCAGCUCGCCCUCUGGGGGCUGGAGAUGGGGUCCGCCUGGGGGUGGUCAGUUGUGCCCAUGUGGCAGAGGCCCGGGAGAGACUCUGGACGCCGAGGCUCAGGGAGGGAACUGUCUGCUGCUUCUCCGGGUGUGCUGUCACCACCACUGCUGGGAGCACUGUCCGCGCCCCCGGGAGAGCGCGGCUGGAGCUGCCCUGGCCUUUGCCCGGCGCGUGCCUGACUUGGGAUGAUUUUAGUGCGCAUCCUUUCGUGGCUGUGAGCCACGACUGUAAGUAUAAAAGCUCUCAGGGCCUUCUGUGCCUUUCAGUGAGCUGCGGACCCUGAGCGUGGCCUCGGGGCCCCGAGCUCUGCAGGUGGCGGCAGAGGGCAUGGUCUGUGUCAGGUCCCUGGGGGUUCUGGAGGCGCUGCCGUAGGCAGUGUCCUCCCGCAUGUUGCAGUGCAUCCCCUGUGCAGUUUGUGUGUCCGGGUUGUGAGCUCGCUCCCGGUGGGGGUUGUUUUCUACAGACGGCCCUCGGUGCUGCGCAUCCACGUGUCCCCAGCGGUUCUGCGUGUUUCCGCCAGGCGCCCGGGCUCUCAGACACUGCGUGUUGGUUCCUGCUCGCGGUUCCCGUACCGCUUGCAGCGUAAUGUUGGACGUAUGGGAGGUGGGUCCUGGUUUUCCACAUGACUGAGGACAGUCACGCUGAUGGCACCCCCUGAACGGCACCUGUGGGUGUCCUUACCUCGCCCCCCUACCCCACGCUGUGCCGAGCUGGGCCUCGUGCCUCCAGCAGACAGCAAGCCGGGGAGGCCUGGCCAGGGUCACACAUGGGUGUGUCCUCUUUGAAGGCCGCCUCACCACGCCAGGGAGCCCGACCGGCCUCCCAGGGGCUGAAAGACCCCGUGGGGAGAUGGGCAGCCCCUGGCCGACCCCCUGGCAGAGCGCAGCCCCGUGAGCGGGCCAGGCCGACCCGCAGAACCACUGCGUUUCGGGGGCCGGCUGUGCAGCCGGGGGUUAUCCAUACAGAGGCUUCUCCUUCCUCCUCGCAAAGCCCUGGACCCCCUGCAGCGUCUCUGCUCCUCCCCUCAUGGCUGGGGCGGGGGUCUCGGCCCCUCCCCUCCUGGCCCUCGUGGGCCCCUGGGGCCUCCAUCAGGACCGGAGCCCCAGUGAGCCGUGGCGUGCGGCUCAGCGCUGUGGUCCAGCGUUGGUGUCUGUGUCUGCAGAGGGGAGCCGCCUUCUUUCUUUUACUUUCAGAAUAGAAAAGAAGCGCACGGUCGUCCCCACCCUGGCCGCGGCCGUCCAUGACGCCAAGGGGAGAGAGGUGGACUGGGAGUACUUCUACCGCCUGUUCUUCACCGCCGAGAACCUCAAGUUGG